AUUUAUGGUGGCUACGUGCGGGAGAUCUUUGGAUCUACCGGGUUUGCUUCUUCCUGGUCUUGCAGGCCCGCACGUAGCCGCCACCCAU
rnacentral:antisense_RNA from 2 species